rnacentral:rRNA from 1 species
CCUACGGGGGGCUGCAGUGGGGAAUAUUGGACAAUGGGGGCAACCCUGAUCCAGCCAUGCCGCGUGUGUGAAGAAGGCCCUCGGGUUGUAAAGCACUUUCAGUGAGGAAGAACGCCUGGUGGUUAAUACCCAUCAGGAAAGACAUCACUCACAGAAGAAGCACCGGCUAACUCCGUGCCAGCAGCCGCGGUAAUACGGAGGUUGCGAGCGUUAAUCGGAAUUACUGGGCGUAAAGCGCGCGUAGGUGGCUUGAUAAGCCGGUUGUGAAAGCCCCGGGCUCAACCUGGGAACGGCAUCCGGAACUGUCAAGCUAGAGUGCAGGAGAGGAAGGUAGAAUUCCCGGUGUAGCGGUGAAAUGCGUAGAGAUCGGGAGGAAUACCAGUGGCGAAGGCGGCCUUCUGGACUGACACUGACACUGAGGUGCGAAAGCGUGGGUAGCAAACAGGAUUAGAUACCCGAGUAGUC